GCCCUCAUAGCUCAGUGGUUAGAGCACUCGCCUCUUAAGCGAGGUGUCGAAGGUUCGAGUCCUUCUGGGGGCA
rnacentral:tRNA from 1 species